UACGUAGGGUGCGAGCGUUGUCCGGAAUUAUUGGGCGUAAAGAGCUUGUAGGCGGUUUGUCGCGUCUGCUGUGAAAUUUCGGGGCUCAACCCCGAACUUGCAGUGGGUACGGGCAGACUAGAGUGUGGUAGGGGAGACUGGAAUUCCUGGUGUAGCGGUGAAAUGCGCAGAUAUCAGGAAGAACACCCGUGGCGAAGGCGGCUCUCUGGGACGGUACUGACGCUGAGACGCGAAAGCGUGGGGAGCGAACAGG
rnacentral:rRNA from 1 species